AUUGAACGCUGGCGGCAUGCCUAACACAUGCAAGUCGAACGAGUGGCGGACGGGUGAGUAAUGUAUGGGAAACUGCCCGAUGGAGGGGGAUAACUACUGGAAACGGUAGCUAAUACCGCAUACUCUCGGAUGUGCCCAGAUGGGAUUAGCUAGUAGGUGGGGUAAUGGCUCACCUAGGCGACGAUCCCUAGCUGGUCUGAGAGGAUGACCAGCCACACUGGUACUGAGACACGGCCCAGACUCCUACGGGAGGCAGCAGUGGGGAAUAUUGCACAAUGGGGGCAAGCCUGAUGCAGCCAUGCCGCGUGUAUGAAGAAGGCCUUCGGGUUGUAAAGUACUUUCAGCGGGGAGGCGUUACUCGCAGAAGAAGCACCGGCUAACUACGUGCCAGCAGCCGCGGUAAUAC
rnacentral:rRNA from 1 species